CAAUUCUUGAACACUAGGAACAAACAAUGAACUACCUGCUAGCUUUAUUAUUUUUGGUGUCUCCAUGAAUCUUCAAAACAGCUAGCAGCUUCCUAAUCGUAUUGAUGAAACCUCCUCUGCUAUAUAUUAAUUAGAAUUUUUCUCAAGGAAGCCGGUGGAGUGGUGCACAUCAGUAAUGCGUCAUUACCAACAUAUGAAUCCUGCACGGGACCAGUUUUGCAUCUUGAGGAUCAUCGAAUUUGUGGCUCUCUUGGAUGGAAAGAUAAUGUCGUAUCUUUGAGAAGAAUCAUAUCUUCUAAACAAAUGCUGAUUUAGGUGUUGAGGUGAAAUCCUUAGUAUUAUCUUGGACUAGUGUUGCCGGUAGAAGAGUGCACUUAAACUUUGGGAGUUCAUUCCUCAAUGACUGGGAUUCUAUCUUCCCGUAAUGUCUCUAAUUUUUCUUUGGGAAACUUAAUAAAACGCCCAUGUGGGGAAAUGUAAUUCAAAAAGUGCCCACGUUGUUUUGAUAAGUUAUUAAA